rnacentral:lncRNA from 1 species
UCCUACCAAUAAUAAGCUCUCAUCCGGAACAUAUAAUUAUCGAGUUCAUCAGAUACCUCCUUAAAAGUAAAUUACUCCAUGGCAUUGUUGUUUGGGAUGAUAAUAACUCAACCGAUGGAAGUACAAACUCUUUCUCUUUAGAGAAUGUGCUACAAGAUAUCUAAUUAAUUAACCUUGCUAGCUAAUUAUGAUUAAUUAGCUAAGAAUCCAUCUUUUAUUUUAUGGGUCAAAUAUCACAAACAUAAAUGGAUAGGAGGAUGACUCUAUCUAUUGGAUGUUCUAAAUAAGACCUAUGAAUUGUGUGCUUUUAGUAUUGCAUUUGUGUUUGUGUGUGGCAUUGGUUUCUUGUUUUCAAUUACUUUCUUUUGUCAUUUUGUUUUGAGUGCAAAAUUUCUUCCAUUGUAUCAAUGUGUGUAACACUUUGAAUAAUAAGAAGCAAUUAUAUUUCAGUUUCCUUUGUUUAUGUUUUUAUAUGUCACUCAAUUCACCGUUCUUUGUUGGAUUUAAUUUUCUAUCUGGUUAAUAGUCCUUUGGUUUCAAUAAUAUAUGAGGCAAAUUCAGUUUUAAUCUUUUGUGAUUUUCUUUUUUAGAUUUUACCCUUGUUAUUUCAGAUUUUAACCUUUGGUUCCAAUAAUAGAAAAAAAAUCAAUUUUGACCAAAACCCAUUAUUCAUUAUCACCCACAUUUAAAAAACAUAAAAUAAAAUAAAGCUUAAAAAAAUGGUAAAAGUUACAAACAAGAGAAGCAAAGCUGGAAGAAAAAAAAAAAGAACUUAUUAUAUUUUGUAUUAGAUUCUCGUCGUUUGAUAAAUUUCGAUUUAUGUUAUUUUAGGAUUUAGAAGUUUCCAAGAUUAAAUAAAAUUCAAAUUGAAUUCAUUUAAUUUGAUUUAUAUGUUAUUUUCACAUUUUGGUUGGUAUCUUUAUUCUAACUAUAAGUUUUUAAUUCGACCAUAUUUUACAAUGGUUGCGUGAAUUUAGCUGUUUUAAUUCAUUAUUGUGUUUUUUAAAGGUUUCGCUCAUGUGAAAUACGAAUACAUAUUGCCUAUUCUCUAUAUUAAGUGACCUCAUUCUCUAGUCUUCCCUUUUAUGUAUGUCUCCGUUCUUCUUUUAUCUCUCUUUUUUUUCUUUCUUUAUUGUCAAUUUCCUUUUUUAUCUCUCAUUCCUCCACUCUUUCUUUUUUUUUCUUUUCCUUUUAUCUAGAAAUAAGAUAAUAUAAUUAUCAACAAAAAAAUCACACACAAUACAAAUUCUUGGGUUCAAACUCAAAUAUGCUAUUCUAACCUAACAAUAUCGAAAUCUGUAUUCAUUUGUUAGUUGAGCUAAUACUUAAGAAAUUUCUUUCUUUCAUUCUAAGUAGACGUAAUGAAAACACACAAAAAAAUAUAUCUUUUUUUAUUAAACUUAAAGUUUUAAAAACAUUUUUAAGAAACAAUAUAAUUUACAUAUCCUUCGGAAAAUAUAUUGAUAAAGUCAGAGUAAAAAAUAAAAGUUCAAAGAAAGAAAGAAACACAGAUAUUUAUAUUAGUUCACCACAAAAUUAGUAGUGAAGUCCAAUCCCUUUAAUUUUGAAAGAUACUAUUUUAGUCCUCCACACACACAAAAAAAAAAAAUUAUAAUGAUUCAUUAUGCGUUGGUUUACUAAAUUAAAAUGAUUCAUAUUAUAACCUUUUCAAACCUAUAACUAAUAAAAUCUUAUCUAAAUUUAAUAUUAUUUCGACAAAUAUAAAAUUAAUUGAUUAUACUAUCAAUUAAGAUAGAAAUAUUAUACGACUUCAAUUAUAUUAGUUUAAUAAAUAUUUUUAUAUUAUAAACUUUAAAAGGUCUUAUAUUACAAAUCAUCUUAGGCUUCCAUAUGCGUUUGGGUCGGCUCGCUAACUAGUCUUGUUAAAUUUAGCUUAGUACGGUCAAAUAUUUGAGGUUACCGCCAAAUUUAUCUAGGAUCGAUGAUACGAUGGACUAGUCAAGUGGAACAUGUUUCUUUAGUAAGAUAGACUUGAGUUCAGAAUACCAUCAAAUUCGUGUAAAUUCAGAAGAUAUUCUUUAGACAUAUUUUAAUUAGAUUUCGUUCAAGUCACUACAAGUACUUAUUGAUGCCUUUUGAUGUCACGAUUACGCCAUUAGUUUACAUGGAUUAGAUGAAUAAGAUCUUUAACACAUACUUAUAAUCAUUUCUUGUGGUGUUCGUCGAUGAUAAUCCUUUUUGGGUGUCACAAGUGCGCCAAUAGUUUACAUAGAUUAUAUGAAUAAGAUCUUUCGCACAUACUUAGAUUCCUUUUUAGUGGAUUUCAUUGAUGAUACUUUGGUGUAUUCCAAGUCUAGGGAAGCGCAUAGAAAACAUAUAAGAAUAGCACUACAUUCUAUUAGAGAGAAGCAAUAUUUGUUCGCCAAGUUACCUAAGUAUAUAUUUUGGUUCUAAGAAGUGAGUUUUCUUGAUCACAUAAUUUUCAAAGGUGGUAUAGUUGUUGUUGACCUAGCCAAUUUAUGAAUGUAGUAGGGAUGAAGGCAACAAAAGCAAUGUCAAAGAUUAUCAGUUUCCUUGGAUUAGUGGGCUAUUACUUAAGAUUUUUCUAAAUUAGCCUUCCUUUUUACCAAGUUAGCCUAUAAAGGAGAUUUUUUUUGCAUGGAAAAGUGAUUGUGAGACUAACUUCUAGGAGUUGGAGAGGAGAUUGAUCUAUGUGCCAAUCUUAGUGUUACUCAAUUCAUGUGAAACAUUUGUGAUGUAUUAUGAUCCUUAUGAACAUUGGCAAACCUUCUCAAGAGCCCGCAAGAGCCACAACCCAAACUUUUUUUCUCACACCUCCAUUCUACAGUCUCCCUCCUCUAUGACCAGUGUCACUACUACUCAGUCUCUCUCUGCUUCUCUGUCUCAUUUUACAGUUGUAGCAGUCAGUGUGACACACUAAACCCCAAAAUAAUAUAUAUAUAUANNNNNNNNNNNNNNNNNNNNNNNNNNNNNNNNNNNNNNNNNNNNNNNNNNNNNNNNNNNNNNNNNNNNNNNNNNNNNNNNNNNNNNNNNNNNNNNNNNNNNNNNNNNNNNNNNNNNNNNNNNNNNNNNNNNNNNNNNNNNNNNNNNNNNNNNNNNNNNNNNNNNNNNNNNNNNNNNNNNNNNNNNNNNNNNNNNNNNNNNNNNNNNNNNNNNNNNNNNNNNNNNNNNNNNNNNNNNNNNNNNNNNNNNNNNNNNNNNNNNNNNNNNUGUGACACCCUAAACCCCAAAAUAAUAUAUAUAAUAAUUUAUAUCAUAUUUCUAUAAAAUUUGCAGCGGAUAAAUAAAAAUAUGUUUCCAAGGAAAUAAAAACUUUAAUUUUUAAUUUAGGAUAUCACGUUUCUCAAAAAUCAAAAGGAACACUUUAACUUCUUUACUCCAUAGUGCAAUCUCAAUUAGCUUGAAUUAAGUAUAAUUACUUGAUUUAAUUCUAAAAACCUACUAGUACUUAUAUGGUUUUCAUUCAAAAGUCGUUUCAAAAUAAAUAAGUAAAAUACAAAUUACAACCCUUAUUCCCGGUAUCACCUAUCAGAGCGGGGUUCCUCCCAAACUUGAACUUCAAGACUUAUUAACCUGUAACAACUGUGAUUUUGCAAACGCAGGGCCAAGCCAGUCAAACACAAACAACGAAGGAGGUGAGUUUCAAAAUCACGUUAAUAGUAAAAUAUAAGUAAGAAGAACAUGCAACAAUCAUAAUAGACCGUAUCAUAAUCACAUUAUGAUAUAUCAAAAUAUUUAAGUAAAUAGUAUCAUAUUAUAACAUCAAAUUCACUCAAGUAAGAUAAUCAUCUCAUUAUAAUAUGCAUCAAAUCAUCUAAGAGUAAUUAUUAUUACUUUUGAAACACAUCAAUCACCACAAAACAAUCACAAGUAAAUGCAAUGCUAUGCAUGAGCUUAGACUCUACUUCACAAUGUGGUACCAUUCUAACUCUGAAGUACUUGGUUAGGAGGCUUGAUACUAUGCCACCAUCCCAGUGGACGGACAAUUCAAAUUGGCCAUGUCCUCAUAGAUCCCCUCAACUCAACUCGAGACACAUAUACGUGACAGUCGAGGUAAACGUGUGUUAUGUGGUAGCUCCCGACAUUUGGAGUGCUACCUCCAAGCCACCUAGGAAUUCCCCACCCGAAUACCUCCAAGGUCUAACAAUCUUGCCUUAAGGCUCGACAGCAGACCACCACGAUUAGACUCAUUCAGUUGUACUUUUCCAGAAUCACUGGGCUUGUCAGGCCCUACCUAUAUGAUGACAAAAUAAUCUCCACUUCACAAAUUCACAAUAUUUAUUUUCUCCCCUCGUUAGUAUAUGAUACUCCAUUAAAACCAUCAUCUCAAACACAAAUUGAAAUCACCAUUGUUUCAUCAACUAUGGGGUUAAUUCAAUAUUCUCAUCACAAUAUCACUAUCUUUAAUCAUAUCUCAUCACAUAAACUCGUCAUAAUUUUAUAGAAUCACUAUCAUCAAUCAAACAUCAUCAUUAUCAUCACAUAAACUUAUCACAUAUUUAUAUCAUAAAUCACACAUCAUCAUCAAAUAAAGUUACAUUAUACACUCCAUUCACAUAAACUCAUUUAAUCAAACAUAUGCACUAAAUUCAUUUGAAAUCAAUUAUCACAAUGAUAUCAAAUAUCACAAUAACAUCAAAUAUCACAAUAAUUUUAAAUAUCACAAUAAUAUCAAAUAUCACAAUAAUGUUAAAUAUCACAAUAAUAUAAAAUAUCACACAUUUAACGAAAUUAAAUCAAUCAACACCUUAUAAAUAUUUCUAUUUUACAUUUUAAUCUCAUCAUUUUCUUAUUUGCAUAUUAAUUAAUUUAUCACUUAAAGGGCUACUGCCGUACGUAGCGAGCCCCGGAUGAAUCAUUGGGAAAUACGGUUUUCCCGUUCAUCUCACAAUAUAUUAUACUCAUUAAUUCAGACGUUCUCUCACCCCUUACCUUAUUUCGACGCUUUCACACACGAAUAAGAUUCCACGAGCAAACAGCCUUUGUUUAUUGACUCUUUGUCCAUCAAUCGAUCUAACUCGACAGUUUAUGGGUAAACGUUAAAAAUAAAAUAUGAGAGGAAACUCUAAAAAAUAAAUUCGAAAUCCGGUCAAGGAAAAUUACCAUAAAUCAGAAAACCAAUCAGUGGAUAAUAUAGUCAUUUUUCACACGGUCGUUUUGGCGUUGGUUUCACUCAAAUCGGACUUACGGUGAAGGAGAAAGGUGCAAAAUAACGAAUUCUACAAACGAAGAAGUCGGGUAUUUUAGAGAGAAAUUGGGGUUGUUAAAAUUCUGGAAAAUUAUGUUUAAUUGACUAGUUAAAUGUAUGAAAUAACAUACUCAGAUUUAGUCGAAAAUGGAGAAAGUUUUCUGGACAGUUAUUGAUCACCAGUGUCAAACGAUAGGUUGUUCUUGUGUUUUCACUUUGAUUUCAAAGCUGCCCGUCCAAUUCCGUUUAUAUGUUGUUGUUUUAAAAUCCAUUGGUCCCUUUAUUUAUUUUUAAAUAAAACCAAUAAUUAAUAAAACUAAUGUUCUAACUUUUUUUUUAACAUAAUUUAAUUACUAAAUAUUGCUAAUAUUUCCAAUCUAAAAUUUUAUAAAAUAAAGUAAUAAAUCGUUUAAAAUAUAUUAAUAAUCAAAACCUUCAUAUUCAAAAUAGUCACCCUAAUGAUACUUUUUUUUUCCUAAUACUCACAUUAAAUUACUAUCAUAAUUAGAGAAUAUUCAAAAUUAUAAAAUAAAUAAGUAUAAAAAAAACACUUUAUAUAUAAUACAAAAUCACACUAAAUAUAUAUAUAUAUAUAUAUAUAUAUAUAUAUAUAUAUAUAUAUAUAUAUAUAUAAUCACAAUAUCAUAAUAAGUAUAUAAAAAUAAAGAAAAUCAAACACAAUAUUACCACUAUCUCAAGAUAAUUAUUUAUAAAGUAAAUAAUUAAAUUAAAAUAUAUUUAGAAUUAAAUAAAUAUAAUUAAGUACACAUUUAAUAAUAGUCAAACGCAUAAAAGAAUGAUAUAUUAAUUGAGUGUGUGUAUAUACACGUAAAAUCAUAUAAAAUCUUUUUCUUUAAAAUAUAUAUUACACUAAAUACUAUUAUUUUUUAAAAAAAAUAUAUCAAAUAAUAAAAUAUAAUAUUUAUGAUUUAUAUCGUUCAUGUAAUCUAGUAUAUAUAAAACUAGCACUUCAUAAAAAUCACCUAUAUAAUGGAAAUUAAUCACAAAGUUUAUUAACAUAUAUUUAUUUUAUAAUAAUUUUAACAUCAAAUUAAUUAUUUAAAAUCCUAUUUAAUUAAUAAAAUAGUUUAUCAUAAAAUUUAGGGUGUUACAGUCAGCCUUCAGCGUCGCCUCUUGGUCUUAGUCCUCAUACUAUCUCAAUCUGCUUGUACGAUUUGUUAAUUUAGAAUUGUUUUCGUUUAAGAUUGUGAAGUAGUAGUAGUGUGUGAUUUGUAUUUUUGAUUUUAUGGAAUGUAAGUGGUUUUAGUGUGGGGCUUAGGAUUGUGAAUUUUAGUGUGUGAAUUAUGACUUUGUAAUUGUUUAUUGUUUUUCUGAUUAGUGUAGAAUGGAUGUGGGAUUGUGAAUUUGUGAACUGUUUUACUUUGUAAUGUGAGUUGUAACCUUGAUAAUUGUGAACUGUUUAUUUUAAUACAUUGUGUAAUUAAUUUUUGUAUUUUUUUUAGGAGUGAUAUGAUAUUUAAACAUAAUAAAUUUGAAGCAUUUUUUAAAAAGAAAGUUUCCAACAAAGAUGAAAAUUGUAAAACGGAUACAUUUUAUUUGAUUGAAAUGUGUGAGCACUAAAAACUUGUGUGACUUGUAAAAAUUGUAAAACUUGUGUGAAUUGAGGUUCUAACUUUUCCAACUUGUCAAUUAUGUAUAAAUUGUGUGAAGCUCUAACAAAAACUAUAUGGCUUUCAAUUAUAAUAUUUAAGUUAAUACUUGUCGCUCCCCCAAUAUUUUUUGCCAAAUCUGCCACAAGCCAUGGAUCAAGAUUAGUUGAUGUAUCGAUGCAGAAUGAUAAAGUAGUGAUUUAUGCUUUGAGGCAGCUAAAACUACAAGAAAGGAAUUAUCCUAACCCUGAUGAAGAGGUUGUCAUACUAAUGUUUGUGUUGGAGAUGUGGAGGCACUAUUUAUAUGUUGAUCUUCAUUCGAAGAUUUCAGUAACCAUAAAAGUUUGAAAUAACUAUUAACCAUAAGGAGUUGAACAUUUGCCAAAGAAGAUGACCUGAGAUAUUAAAGGACAUUUAAAUACCUACCAAUUUUUGUUACUUCCGUCUCUUUCUAACUUCCAUAGUGUCUUUCGCAUUUCAUAACUUCGUAAGUAUAUUUAUGACCUCUCUCAUGUUUUUGAGUUAGACAAGAUUCAAAUAGAGGAGAUCCUUACUUUUGAAACUUUUUCUCUAUUGAUUAAUGAUCACCAAGGAAAUGUGAGCCCAAGACAAUUCUAUUAGUGAAGGUUAUUUGGAAAAGGGUUUCUUGCAAAAGUGCUACUUGGGUAAUAUAGAACCCAAAUACAAGGUUCAUAUGUAGAGCUAUAUCUUAGGUAAAUUUACGAAGAAAAUUUCUUUUACGGAGAGAGAAAUAUAAAAUCGUAUUUUUUCUAUUUCGUUAUUUGGUGAUAUUUAUUAAUAUUUAUGAUGAGUUAUGAGUAGCUAUUUUAUUUAAAAAUGAUAAUAAUGCAAUGGAUGGGAAACGCGAGUCAACUCAUUGUAACCGUCUUCACUAUGGAGAAGAUGCGGUCCUUUGACGCAUAAUAGUAAGAAAAUACCUUGAAAUUAAUUUCUUCGUCAUGAGAAGAAUUUACCUGUGUCUGUUAGAGAAAAAUUUGUGUGGUAUUGUGAAUUAGGUUCAUUGUGCAGCUCAAUCUUAAUAGGUUAUAUACAUUAUUAUGGUGAGAUUUACAAUGUGUGGUAACUAUUCAUUAAGAUGUUAGCAUGUUAUUAAUAAUCAUAAUAUGAUACGUGACAUUAACUACGAUAUUGAUAUGAAAUGUGAUACAUGUAUGUGAUUUGAAUUAUGAUGUGCCAUGUUGUAUUAUGUAAAUUGUGAACAUGUGUUAUAUCUGACUCAUGUUUAUGAUGGAUCCCUUUGUAUAAGGACAGACUUAGGACGUUGAGGGAAGGAAGAUAUAUGUGAUAUAUUCUACCCAACGUACAUAAAAAUUUAUUAGCGAUGACAUGAUCUUUGAACUAUUGUUUGCAAAGUACAACUAAAUAAGCCUAACAGUGGAGGUAAUUCUCAAGCUUGAGGAGGAGAUUAGAGACCUCGGGGUAUUCUAGGGAAGGUGACUUGGGUUAAUUUCUUAAAUAUCGAGAGUUGUCGUGCAAUCCUGGUUAGAUCCUAACGAUCAUUUAUAUGAGUGUCGGGAUGAGUCAACUGAGUCUAUGAGGACAUGUUUGCAUAUUUGAUUGAGAGACCACUUGUAUGGUGAUAUAGUUGUGUGUCUACUUACUGAAUACUUUAGAGUAAUUUUGGUAUAAUAUGACAUUGAAGUGUUGCAUCAAGUAAGCAUAACAUUGAAUUGAUAUCAUUUAUACAUGAAUUAUGAAGUGACCUAUGAUAUGUCUAAUUAUGUGAUAAAUGUGAUAUUUUAUAUGGUAUAUGUGUUGCAAGUAUGUUAUUCCUUUGUACCAUUGUUGUGAUUUCGAUACAAUGACGUUAUGUUUUGUUUUUGUUUGUGAUUGACGCUAAAAUGAUGCACACGUUCCUUCAAGCGCAUGUGAUUAGUAGAAGUCGACAAUAUUUGAUGAUUUACUAUUUUAUUUUAUGUGCAAUAAUUGUGGCAUUUUAUACAUCGAAACUUACGAGAUUCAGCUUUGAUAUGUUAUAUCAAGGUUGAAUUAUUAUAUUAAUUAUCCACGUUUUUCUAUAUAUUGAUUUAUGGCUUAAUCGUUUGAAUUUUCUAAGAUUAUGAAAUAGUUAAUAUUUUACUCUGCAACCUUGUGAUGAAUGAAUUGUAUUGUGACAUCUUAUAUCUUGAAUGUGUUUUAAAAUUGAGGAAAAAAAAUUAUUUAGUAGUUCCUACUAAUGAAAAAUGAAAAGAAAAUUAUAUAUGUCGUGGUUGAGGGUAUCCCCCUAUUGACACAUAAAAUCUUAAAAUUUCACUAACAUUAUAGUAUAGUUGUAAUGCAUAUUAGUUAAUUAAUUAUACAAGUUAAACACAUUAGCUAAUUUGUUAUAUUAAUGAGUUGUUUCUCAUUAGCUAUAUAAGUCUUGUCUAUCAUUCGACGUAAAUUAUUUUAUCAUUCUCCCACUAGUCAAUAUGAUUUCUAUUUUACUUUUAUUCACUUGUCUCUCAUCAGUAACUUAAAUUAAGAAAAGUAAUAUGUUAUCAAAGUCUAUCAAUCGAACCACCUAUCAUUUAUACUCUUGACCAAGCUCAAUAAUGUUAGGCAGGAGGGGUGUAUUGAUAAAACUCAAAAACCUAAUAUGGUACUAGAGUUAGUUUCUAAGUGGUUAGUCUAUUAUGUCUAGCUUUAUAUAUAGAACAUGUCAUGUAUUUAUUUUUUAUCUUUAACUAUUUUAUCAAUAUAGAAUUUACUUUCCUUUCAAUAUUAUAAAUAUUUUCAAUUAUUCAACCUUUGUGUGUUAGUAUUGCUAGUGGUGGUUUAAAGUGUUCCAACUAUCCAUCCUUCAUCCUUGCUAACGAACAUGUGAUUGAUUGUUUUUGGAUUAGAGAAGUAAUUAAUAGUGAAGAUCUAAGUCUAGAGAUAAUGAAGAUUCAAAUCGAUAAUUGACGAGUAUUGAAAAUUCUUAUCAAAGAAUAGUUUUUUAUGGUUAAUCAAAUUUCACUUAUUUUUUCUAAAAUAGAUGGUUAACAAAAUUUUACUCUUUCAACCUAAUCAAUAUUUUAAUUUCUAUUUAUAAAAAUGAAUGGCUAAAGAAAUUUGAUUAUUUUUAACCUAAUUAACAUUUUAGUUUAUGUUCAUGAAGAUGAUAAAUGGAUAAUGUUAAACUUCAAAUUCUUAUGUUUAAUUAAUAAUUUUGCUUCUAUCCAUAAAAGUUAUGGAUGAUUAAGAAAAUUUUAUUCUUUUUAGAGUUAUCAACAUUUUAUAUUUUCUUUAGCCGAUGUAUUUUCAAAUUUUAUACUUUUUUCAUUGGCUGUUAAAUUUCUGACAUUUUUCUAUUGUGAAUUUUCUAAGUUAGAAGUAUAUUAUGCACAUUCCAACUUGCAAUAUUGAACUAUAAGAUAUAGUAAUUUGUUAAUUAAAUAUACAAAUUAAAUAUAAAAUUAUAGUUAUUUAUAGUAAUUAAUCGUUUUUCAUUAGUUAUAUAAAUCUUGAGUAUAAAAAUUAUUUAUUUAUGCUUUUUGUUUGAUGCAAUAUUCUUUUGGUCUAUUUAAUGCAAUUAUUUAAUCAUCCUAACAACCAUAGUAUAAACAUAAUAAAUUAUUAUUUUUUCUUUCUAAUCUCGAUGACACAAGACUUGUGAUAAAAAAAAUCUAGACACGUAACAUGUUGCAAAAUUAAUUGAUCAAUUUUAGUGACCAAGUAAAAUAGUUCCUCUUAACAACCAUCGUGUGAACAAUCUUUAUUGCCCACUUACCCUAAUUUCAUUAAUUAUAUAUAUAUAUUUCUUAAGUGGGUCACUCGUUAUGAAAUGGAUGGAUAAUUUUUUUUUCUCAAUAAUUGUAGUAUAGUAAAAAUAUCGUUUCCAAUUAAUGGUUGAUCUAUAUCUUUAAUUAGAGUGUGUUUAGAUGAGAUAAUAUUUUGAGAAAACGUAAUUUUUUAAAGGAAUUGAUCAAAUCUUUUAUUGCAAAUUAUCUUGUUUUGAUAAUAAAUUUGAAGAAUUUUUAAAAUGAAAGAAUUUUAUGAGUUAUUUUGUCAAAAUUAAAUUUAGAUCAUUUCAAACACCACCUAAAAAUUAAGAAUUUCAAAUUUCAUCUUUACUUUUUAAUAUAUAUGAAUCAUAAAACGGUGAUUUAAUUUUAUAAAAUUUACAAUUUUGACCAUAUAUAUUUUAAAAGUUGCACAUUAGUCUUUAUAUAUAUAUAUAUAUAUAUAUAUUUGCAAACUAGACCCAAUUUUUUUAAUUUUGCAAAUUAGUCCAAAAAAUAUGCAUAAUGGACCUUCAUUUUUCCAAAAUUUUCGUUUUGAUCUGAAUUUAAUUUUCAUUUUAACCUCAAAACUUUAAAAUUUAAUAAAAUUGCCCAACUUAUAAAUAAGCAAUUGUUCAAUGCAAACAACAAAUUUUAUAAAUAAAGAUAAUAUAAUGAAGAAUUUGAAUUGCUUAAAAUUUUCAACUACUCAAUCCGAACAUACGCUUAAUUAAAAAAUGGAUAGAAAACUAAAGUUCAUUAAAUGUUAAGAUGGUAAUAGUAUAAUCAAAUUGAUCAUAGGUGGUAAGAUUAUCUAUCCAUAUUUUAAGAUCAACAAGAAAGUAAAAAUCAUAUGUUCACGAUAUACAUAAAUAUUUCAAAAGACAAUAAAAACUACUGGAACAAAACCAUAAUUCAAAUGACCAAACUAAUUUCUUCCACAUAUGGUCAGUGAUCGAGAAUAUUGCAAGAUUCACAGUCUUUAAUUUCAUUCAUAUUCGAAAAAUAAUAUUUACUGAUAUUUACUUAUAUCGAGUAUAGGUGAUCACUGAUAGAUCAUUUAACCACAAGUUGACAAGUUAUAUAUAAUGCCGAGAUUAUAUCUAAUAUGAUGAUAUAGCCUUCAUACACCCCUUACUCAAAAUAAUGAUUAAAUGAAUUAUUCUCAUUCAUUUAAACAAACACAUAAAGUACAAACUUAAAACUAAUUAAAAUAUUACAACAAAAUAAAAAAUCAAAACACCCACUAAAUUUCUAUACAAACAAAAAACAAAAUACUGAAAUUUUUUGGAAAUUAAAAAUUUAUUUAGUUUUAAAUAAACUAAAAUAUAGUUUUCAUCUCAUAGUUGACUUUAUAAAAAAAAACCUACAAAAGCAGAGAAAGUCAUAUAAGAUAUUUACUAGUAUUUAAUUAACUAAUCAAUUAAUAUGACAACACAUAUUGGAUUGGAAAUUUGUACACACGCAGGCUUAUAAAAGGGCAACAAGAGGUGGUCAUUCCAAACACCAAGAAAAGGCAAUUAAUUUCAUUAUUAUUUCCUCUUCCAAAUUCUUAUAGUUGUCACAAUGUCUUCUAAGGGUAACAAUGGAAACAUUGAAUUUACCAUUUAUCGUCAAUACAUACAUGAUAUUCCACCUCCCAACAAUAUAAUAACAUCUACAAACUCAAAAAUAUCAAACAUUUUGACUUCAUUUUGGGCUUUGCUAGUGAAGUAUACGUACAUGGAAAGGUACCGGAAAUUUCCAUCCCACUUCGAACCUUGAAGAAUUCGAUAUCGAAUGGGUGAAAAAGGUGAAGGAAACUAUUCCACAUGUCAGGGUGAUUAUAAGCAUCGGAGGUGUUGGCUUUGAAUUUCCAUUUAAUCCAAUUGAUAAACAUAUAUGGAUUUACAGAGUCAUAGAGUCGAUCAAAUGGAUCGUCUGUGAUCUCUAUGACAAUCUAAUUGAUGGUAUUGAUAUUCAUUAUGACGUUAUCAAAUCAAGUGAAGAUGAAUUUUCCUUCUCUAUUGGAGAAGUUAUAAGAAAACUAAAAAAUGAUAUCGAUCUAUCCAUCAAUGUGGUUUUCAUUGCUCCAAACGAACCGUUCCAAUCCUACUACCUCAACUUAUAUUUGCAAAACGAAGACAUUAUCGACUUGGUUGACUUUGAAUUCUACAAUCUUAAACCACAAACUCUAGAACAACUUUUAGAACUUUAUAAAAAAUUAGUUUAUGAGUACACUCCGACUAUAGUCCUACCAAUAAUAAGCUCUCAUCCGGUACAUAUAAUUAUCGAGUUCAUCAAAUACCUCCUUAAAAAUAAAUUACUCCAUGGCAUUGUUAUUUGAGAUGAUAAUAACUCAACCGAUGGAAGUACAAACACUUUCUCUUUAGAGAAUGUGCUACAACAUCUCUAAUUAAUUAAUCUUGCUGGUUAACUAUGAUUAGUUAGCUAGCAAUCCAUCUUUUAUUUUAUGGGUCAAAUAUCACAAUAAUAAAUGGAUAAGAGGAUGACUCUAUCUAUUGGAUGUUCUAAAUAAGACCUAUGAAUUGUGUGCUUUUAGUAUUGCAUUUGUGUUUGUGUGUGGCAUUGGUUUCUUGUUUUCAAUUACUUUCUUUUGUCAUUUUGUUUUGAGUUCAAAAUUUCUUCCAUUGUAUCAAUGUGUGUAAUACUUUGAAUAAUAAGAAGCAAUUAUAUAUCAUUUUCCUUUCUUUAUGUUUUUAUAUGUCACUCAAUUCAACAUUCUUUGUUGGAUUUAAUUUUCUAUUUGGUUAAUAGUACUUUGGUUCCUGUGCAAAUUCAGUUUUAA